rnacentral:rRNA from 1 species
CCUACGGGUGGCAGCAGUGAGGAAUAUUGGUCAAUGGACGCAAGUCUGAACCAGCCAAGCCGCGUGCAGGAUGACUGCUCUAUGAGUUGUAAACUGCUUUUGUACGAGGAUAAACCCCGAUACGUGUAUCGGGUUGAAAGUAUCGUACGAAUAAGGAUCGGCUAACUCCGUGCCAGCAGCCGCGGUAAUACGGAGGAUCCGAGCGUUAUCCGGAUUUAUUGGGUUUAAAGGGUGCGUAGACGGGUUGAUAAGUUAGAGGUGAAAUGUCGGGGCUCAACCCCGAAACUGCAUUUGAUACUGUCGGACUAGAGAACAGUUGAGGUAGGCGGAAUGUGUGGUGUAGCGGUGAAAUGCUUAGAGAUCAUACAGAACACCGAUUGCGAAGGCAGCUUACCAAACUACAUCUGACGUUGAGGCACGAAAGUGUGGGUAGCAAACAGGAUUAGAUACCCUGGUAGUC